ACUGGUCUCACUUGCGUCGACAACACACCGGUAGACGAGCCGGCAGUACUUGGAUUCCUGAGAGUAUUGGCGUGCCUGGUGCGCUACGUUCUCGACACCGCACCGAGCGAAAUUGUAACGCAGGUUGGCUGUGGCUUGGAAGGUGUUAUUUACUCGCUUCUUGGCAACCAGGGUGCUACCGCUGCUUCGCCUUUGAUCUGCGCCGUGCAAGGACUAUUGAACAUCGAGUGCUCUGUUGUGCAGUGUUAGAACAAAGCCUUUGUACUUUACAUCUACAUUUAAAUUUGAAACUGUAUACCCACAGCUCAUACCUAAGCAAGUUUGAUAGCAUAAACUGAAUAUCGCUGAGACGUUUUGUUAUUCCGCUUUGGCCUCAAUACGUUUUAAUUACGCGAAGCGAAGCUGCCCCCAGCAAUAAAUCUUUAAUGAAAGCACAUUAUCCUCUCUCGAGCGAGGUACGCAGUAAAACGUUCGUUUCAACUGCAACAAAAACUUUUUCGCAACAGUG
rnacentral:lncRNA from 1 species